GGCAGCGCAUCCGCAGGGAGCGGCUCCCCAGAGCGCUGCCCUCGCAUCCCCACGGGCCCUGCGCGAAGCCCUGCCCCGAAAAUCCCAGUAGCAUCCUUCACACCUCGCUCCCCCGGGGGCAAGAUCUCGUUCCCGAGUCUGGAGGGAUUUCUGCAGGCUGAUCAGAGGGAAGCGCGGCUCGGAGCUGAGCCUCCUCCACACGCCCUCCGCGCCGCCAGCAGACUGGCUGCCAACCGCUGCGGCUGUUUAUGCAGGGUGGGGAAAGGAAAAACAAUACACCCCAAAACCAAAGGCUGGGGAAGAAGAAAGAAGCCCACCCAAGAGCAGAGAGUCAGCACCAUUCAAACAAAACAACGGCACAGAGAGCGGGGGAAGAGGUGUGAGGGAGGAGACGCGCAAACAAAGCCCCAAAACCAAACCUCCUCUGCCCGGGGAGGGGGCGGGCUGGCCCCCCAGCGGGUAGCACCGACGCUGGGGGUGCCGCAGCACGGGGACCCGCGCGCCGAGCCCGUGAUGGGGACAUGCAGAGGCAGAUUCUGGAGAACCACCCAAAGGGCUGGGGGGAAAACAAAAGCCAGCAGGAAAAUCAGACGCCGGCACCCCCCAGGGGGCCAGAGCCAUCCGCUGGGAGAGUCCUGGUGCCCCGCUCCCGGCCCCCGGGGGCUCCCAGGGAAUCAGACACCACCGCGCAGGCACUCUGCCCCGUUGGCACACGUUGAAAGAGAGCAGAGCAGCUGCGGGCACCAGCAGGAGAGCAGCCAGGGCCUCAGGUACCUGAGCGGGAAGGGGAAAGGGAAGGUGAGAGCGCAGAGAGGCAGAGGCACCAGGACGAGGGGUACCAAGAACAGAGUCCGGUACAGGCACCAGUGUGAGGCUGUGGAGAGAGCCGCGAGCGCGCCGGGGCAGUGGGUGUGCUUCUGCACAAUGUGUGCUAGUACUGGGGGCCUGAGGUGCCACGAAAGGAGGACCCCAGCUCUUGCAGGCAGCAAAAGAAGAGAAUAA
rnacentral:lncRNA from 1 species